rnacentral:rRNA from 1 species
AUUGAACGCUGGCGGCAGGCCUAACACAUGCAAGUCGAGCGGAGCGGCGGACGGGCGAGUAAGAGCUAGGAAUCUGCCUGAUCGUGGGGGAUCACGUUCGGAAACGGUCGAUAAUACCGCAUACUAUCAGAUGAGCCUAGGUCGGAUUAGCUCGUUGGUGCGGUAAUGGCUCACCAAGGCUACGAUCCGUAACUGGUCUGAGAGGAUGAUCAGUCACACUGGAACUGAGACACGGUCCAGACUCCUACGGGAGGCAGCAGUGGGGAAUAUUGGACAAUGGGCGAAAGCCUGAUCCAGCCAUGCCGCGUGUGUGAAGAAGGUCUUCGGAUUGUAAAGCACUUUAAGUUGGGAGGCGUUACCGACAGAAUAAGCACCGGCUAACUCUGUGCCAGCAGCCGCGGUAAUAC